rnacentral:rRNA from 1 species
GACGAACGCUGGCGGCGUGCUUAACCCAUGCAAGUCGAACGGAAAGGCCCUUCGGGGUACUCGAGUGGCGAACGGGUGAGUAACACGUGGGUGAUCUGCCCUGCACUUUGGGAUAAGCCUGGGAAACUGGGUCUAAUACCGAAUAGGACCACGCGCUUCAUGGUGUGUGGUGGAAAGCUUUUGCGGUGUGGGAUGGGCCCGCGGCCUAUCAGCUUGUUGGUGGGGUAAUGGCCUACCAAGGCGACGACGGGUAGCCGGCCUGAGAGGGUGACCGGCCACACUGGGACUGAGAUACGGCCCAGACUCCUACGGGAGGCAGCAGUGGGGAAUAUUGCACAAUGGGCGCAAGCCUGAUGCAGCGACGCCGCGUGAGGGAUGACGGCCUUCGGGUUGUAAACCUCUUUCACCAGGGACGAAGCGUAAGUGACGGUACCUGGAGAAGAAGCACCGGCCAACUACGUG